UACGUAGGGGGCUAGCGUUGCUCGGAAUCACUGGGCGUAAAGGGUGCGUAGGCGGGUCUUUAAGUCCGGGGGGAAAUCCUGGAGCUCAACUCCAGAACUGCCUUUGAUACUGAGGAUCUUGAGUUCGGGAGAGGUGAGUGGAACUGCGAGUGUAGAGGUGAAAUUCGUAGAUAUUCGCAAGAACACCAGUGGCGAAGGCGGCUCACUGGCCCGAUACUGACGCUGAGGCACGAAAGCGUGGGGAGCAAACAGG
rnacentral:rRNA from 1 species